rnacentral:rRNA from 1 species
GGGGGGGGGGGGGGGGGGGGGGGGGGCGGGCGGGGGGGGCGGCGGCGCGGGGUGCGGCCUGGCGGCGGGGGGCGGGCGGGUGGGUCAUGCGUCGGGGCGUGCCGAGGGGUGGGGGAGAGCGCGGCGAGAGCCGGAUUAAUACCGCCUACUAGCUGCGGGUGAACGGGGGGGACCGAACGGCCUCACGCGGUUGGGCGUGGCGAUGGAGGGUGAGCUAGUUGGUGGGGUAAAGGCUUACCAAGGCUACGAUCCGUCGCUGGUCUGAGAGGACGACCAGCCACACUGGGACUGAGACACGGCCCAGACUCCUACGGGAGGCAGCAGUGGGGAAUUUUGGACAAUGGGGGCAACCCUGAUCCAGCCAUGCCGCGUGCGGGAAGAAGGCCUUCGGGUUGUAAACCGCUUUUGUUCGGGAAGAAAUCCUCUGGGCUAAUACCCCGGGGGGAUGACGGUACCGGAAGAAUAAGCACCGGCUAACUACGUG